rfam:Archaeon 13_1_20CM_2_51_12 13_1_20cm_2_scaffold_81879, whole genome shotgun sequence.
AUGCUGGUGUGCUGACGCCAGUUGGAGGAUGGCUUGGCUUGAGAAGAGAUGAAGGACGUGGCAAGCUGCGAUAAGCCCAGGGUAGGUGCAAGCGACCAUUGAUCCUGGGAUGUCCGAAUUGGAAUCCUAUGCGCAAGCAUACUCCAUUACAAUGGUAGUGGAGAUCGAACCGUGGGAAGUGAAGCAUCUGAGUACCACGUGGAAAAAAAAUCAACAGAGAUUUCCCAAGUAGCGGCGAGCGAAAAGGAAAGAGCCCAAACUGAAUCUGCCAUGGCAACAUGGUAGAGAUGUGGUGUCGUUAUGGUAUUACGAUCCAAAAUUCUAAGCUCAAGUGGCCUGGAACGGCCCGCCGCAGAGGGUGAAAGCCCCGUAAGCGAGCGAAAAAGGGAUCUUACCAUAACUAGAGUAGUUGUCCUUGGUAGUGGGCAAUGAAUACAGGUGAAAGUAGCAUCUAAGGCUAAAUAUUUCUCAAGACCGAUAGCGGAUUAGUACCGCGAGGGAACACUGAAAAGUACCCCGGAAGGGGGGUGAAAAGUGCCUGAAACCAACUGGUUACAGACGUACAUGGCGCAAAAGGAGUUUUUGUCAGAUUGGAGGUUCUAGCAAUAGAGCUGAAGGUCUGGCGUUCAUAGCUCCAGUGUCAUGUGUUCCGUCUAGAAACACGGGCCAGGGAGCUUACCGUUAUGGCAAGCCUAAGCUUUAACAGAGCGGAGGCGAAGGGAAACCAAGUUCUCGCAGUGUAAAACGAGGAGAAGCGUGUGAAAGUGCGUUGAGUCAUAGCGGCAAGGCUAGAAACCAGACGAUCUAUCCCUGAACAUGACGAAGUUGGGCGAAAGCCCGAUGGAGGUCAGUAGCAGUUCUAACGUGCAAUUUGUUUGUGUGAUUUGGGGAUAGGGGUCAAAAACCAAUCUAGUCUGGUGAUCGCUAGUUCCUAACGAAGUGUAUCGCAGUACAGCCUCUGUGGAGACAGCGUGUCCUGUAGAGCACCGAUAGGGCAUGUCGGGCGAGAAAUCGCUCGCUGCCCAUUCGAACUCCGAAGGGAUGUGCGUUGUAGAAGCAGGGAGACGGAUUUACGUGGCGUAAGGCUCGUAAUCAAGAGGGGGACAACCCAGACUGAGGUUAAGGUCCCCAAGUUUCUGCUAAGUGUCAAACUAAAGGGCGUAUCUAGGCCAAGACAGCAGGGAGGUAAGCUCAGAAGCAGCUAUCCUUUAAAAAGUGCGUAACAGCUUACCUGCCGAGCCUGGGUGCCCCAAAAAUGGACGGGGCUCAAGCAGAACACCGAUACCUCGGAUUUUUGUAGAUAUACAAAACAUGGUAGUUAGGCGUAGGGAUUGGGUAGAAGCAGGGCCGUGAGGUCCUGUGGACCGAUUCGUAUUGCAGAUCCUGGUGGCAGUAACAGCAUAGUGGAGUGAGAAUCUCCACCAUCGUAAGCGUAAGGGUUUCCCGGCAAUGCGUCGUCAGCCGGGAGUUAGUCGAUCCUAAGAUCAACCUCAACAGAGUUGAUUGAAUGGGAAACUUGUUAAUAUUCAAGUACCUUACAGGUGACGUUAUAAUCUGGCAGUCUCUUCAGGACAGGGCAAGUAGAACCAUCGUUCUAUUUAACAGUCCUAGAGUCGGGGAGUGUCGUAAUGACGAGAACUGGCUCGAGUCUGGAAUGGCUUGGCGUUAGCUGAGUUUGCUCCAAUCCAGGAGACCAUGAAAAACUGUGCAGUGAGUUAUCUGUAAUGAUCGUACCGAGAUCCGACACAGGUGCGCUGGAUGAGAAGUCUAAGAUGUAUCGGGUAUACCGUAGGCGAGGGAACUCGGCAAACUA